CCUACGGGCGGCAGCAGUGAGGAAUAUUGGUCAAUGGACGCAAGUCUGAACCAGCCAUGCCGCGUGCAGGAAGACGGCUCUAUGAGUUGUAAACUGCUUUUGUACGAGGGUAAACGCAGAUACGCGUAUCUGUCUGAAAGUAUCGUACGAAUAAGGAUCGGCUAACUCCGUGCCAGCAGCCGCGGUAAUACGGAGGAUGCGAGCGUUAUCCGGAUUUAUUGGGUUUAAAGGGUGCGUAGGCGGUCCGGAAAGUCAGCGGUAAAAGCCCGGGGCUCAACCCCGGCGAGCCGUUGAAACUGUCGGACUAGAGACGGCGAGAAGUACGCGGAAUGCGCGGUGUAGCGGUGAAAUGCAUAGAUAUCGCGCAGAACUCCGAUUGCGAAGGCAGCGUACUGGCGCCGGACUGACGCUGAGGCACGAAAGCGUGGGUAUCGAACAGGAUUAGAUACCCUUGUAGUC
rnacentral:rRNA from 1 species